GAGUUUGAUCCUGGCUCAGAACGAACGCUGGCGGCGUGCCUAACACAUGCAAGUCCAACGUGAAAGGGGAGCAAUCCCCCGGUAGGGUGGCAAACGGGUGAGUAAUACAUGGGUGAUCUACCUUAGGGAUGGGGAUAUCCUUCCGAAAGGAGGGGCAAUACCGAAUAUUGUCCGGAGCCGUGAAGGGUUCCGGGGAAAGGGAGGCCUCUGAUACAAGCUUUCGCCUUAAGAUGAGCCCAUGGCCCAUCAGCUAGUUGGUAGGGUAAAGGCCUACCAAGGCUACGACGGGUCGCUGGUCUGAGAGGACGACCAGCCACACUGGCACUGAGAUACGGGCCAGACUCCUACGGGAGGCAGCAGUGAGGAAUAUUGCGCAAUGGGGGAAACCCUGACGCAGCAACGCCGCGUGUGGGAAGAAGGCCUUCGGGUCGUAAACCACUUUUGCACGGGACGAAAAAGGGAUAUCGAACAAAUAUCUCCGAUGACGGUACCGUGAGAAUAAGCCACGGCUAACUCUGUGCCAGCAGCCGCGGUAAGACAGAGGUGGCAAGCGUUGUUCGGAAUUACUGGGCGUAAAGAGUCUGUAGGUGGUUUGUCAAGUCUUU
rnacentral:rRNA from 1 species